GGAGGGGUUGGCGAUGUUGCUGCGCAGCCGGGCCUGUGGAGCCGGGGAGGUUCUGGUAUUAGUGCGCGGACAGGUCAGCUUCCAGCCCGGCCGCCUUACCUGAGCGCCGCCGCCCUGCGCUCCCCGCGGCCCGAGCGAUAGUUGUGCAGAGCCCCCUGGAUGUCCUCUCGGAUCAGCUCCGCCUGUCAAUCACGCCGUCAGGCCACGACCGCAACCCACCCACUGCCCGCCCAGGCGGCUCUCCGGAUCGAUUCCUCAGCUCGGCCCCAGACCACGUCCAGUCAUAGUUCACGCACUGCGCCCACGCACGUCCACGCCCUGAACUCACCCCCCGGCUCUUAAACUGUCCCUGCCUUAGGCCCCUCCCCCAACCACGGAAGCCCCGUCCAGAUGGCGCUUCGCCCCUGACCACACUCACUCCCAUCCUAGUUCUGGCUGCUCCCCCAGACCCUCACUUCCAUGUUCUGUCCACGUUCUGUCCGAGCUCUUAGCUCUUAGCCUCCGUCUCCAUUCGGCCCUCUCGAUCCUUCUCGACCCUACGUUCAAUCUGUUCUCAAAUCCCCCUCCCUCCCAGAAUUCCUUUACAGGUCACGCCCCCUCCGCUGGCCCUGACCCCGCCUUUGCCGUACACCGUGCCCCUCGUCUUAGAGGCCCCGCCCCGUUGGAGGUUCGGCUCCGGACUCCGCCCAGUUUCAGCUCCGGGUCCGGAAUCCGCAGGGUCUCAGUCUGUGGCCCCGACCCCCGCUCGCUCACCCCCAGACGCAGGCCCUGGAAGAAGUGCACGUCGGGCUGCGUGCGCUCGGGCUCCUGGCACACGAGCAGCAGCAGUGAGCAGCUCUGGCCCGGCGGUAUCACCGUGUCGCAACGCACGAUGGCGCUCAGCGGCACAGGAGCUGGUCCAGAGGAAAAGUUGGCGGAUUCAAGUGGAACUGAGUUCCUCCACUGAAUGCCCACAUCUGAGGCAAGGCAGAAGAAGUCCACUUUGCAGAUGAGCAAACGGAGUUUCCCAAGUUCUUGCUGCUUGGAGGUCCAACUGCUUUCAACUCCCCCAUCUCCUCAGGCCUGCCUUGCCUCCUGCAAGACCCCCCGUGGCAACACAGACCCCAGACUCACAUUGACUGGAUAUUGGGAAACAUCGGCCAUAACCUCGGUGGAGUAACGCUUCCUCUGUUCUGUGGGGGAAGAAGGAGAAUGGCUGCAGGAGACCCAGCUCCCAGCCCCUUCCCCCUCAGACUCAGGAGUCCAGACCCCCAGCCCCUCCUCCCUCAGAAAAGGAGUCCAGACCCCCAAACCCUUCCCCCAUCAGAUCCAGGAGUUCGGGUCCUCAGUUACCUCCUCCCUCAGACCUAGUUUCUCUUGGCCCGGGGCUUCCUUGCCCCUCAACUCACCAUAGAUAGA